CAUCUGCCCCUCAGAGAGGGCUGGCUGCGUGUAUCAGGCCAGCAGCAGCAGCUCUCCUCUGUGUCUGCUCCUCGGCUCUCACUGCUGCCUUCCCACACUGUCCUGGAGCUGGGGCCUCCAGUCCACUAGCCAGGCUGCCGGUCCGUGUCAGAUUUGAAAUAGCGGCGGUCAUAGGUGGACCGGAGCCGGACUGAAGGCUGUUGACCACAGCCGCCUCCUCUGCACCGCAGCCCACAGCCGCCUCCUCCGCAACACCGCCGCACACAGAUUCUUCCUCCUCACUGCCGCCGACCACAGCCUCCUCAUCCUCCGCACCGCCGACCACAGCCUCCUCCGCACCGCCGCUGCUCAUUAGGCAUCUUCCGGACUAUGUGAUAUCUACAUGAAUAGUGAAUGCAGACUGAAGAUACCGUCUUCCCAGAGAGAAUUCAUUUCUUCAGAGGUUCCCCGUUGUGAGAAACCACCAUAUAGAUUUCCCAGCCACUGAACCUAGUGGCCUUUUUGAGGACUGAGCAGCCAUCCACAGGUUCGCUUGUGGAUUUUGUGUGCGCUUGUCGACAGAUCAAAGAAAAUAUUACCUACCCUAUUGAAGGUGGAGGGACGUAGCGCAUUGACCAUUUUCGUUCUCCGUUGGCUGUUAUGUGGAAGGCACCGGGCGCAGUAAUGUAGCAUAUAUAUAUAUAUGAUCAAUGAGUUGGAUGUAACUGUCAACAUAUUACAAAUACUUAGCAGCUUAGCAGCUCUUCCACCACACCCAUGAGGUGGCUGCCUAAUGUCGUUUUGGUGGUACCGCCAGUAGCCCUAAUCCCUCAUUUUCAUUUCUGUUCAGUUUUAUAAUCACUGUUACAUUGCGAGAUGGGUUUUCCUUCUGUUAUCAGUGUAUCAAUGUUGCUAUUCCAAGGCUUUUGGGUACACAAUGGAGGUCAUUCCGAGUUGUUCGCUCGGUAAAAAUCUUCGCAUCGCAGCGAUUUUCCGCUUAAUGCGCAUGCGCAAUGUCCGCACUGUGACUGCGCCAAGUAAAUUUGCUAUGCAGUUAGGAAUUUUACUCACGGCUUUUUCAUCGGUCUGGCAAUCGUAAUGUGAUUGACAGGAAAUGGGUGUUACUGGGCGGAAACAGGCCGUUUUAUGGGCGUGUGGGAAAAAACGCUACCGUUUCCGGAAAAAACGCAGGAGUGGCUGGAGAAACGGGGGAGUGUCUGGGCGAACGCUGGGUGUGUUUGUGACGUCAAACCAGGAACGACAAGCACUGAACUGAUCGCAGAUGCCGAGUAAGUCUGGAGCUACUCAGAAACUGCUACGAGGUGUGUAAUCGCAAUAUUGCGAAUACAUCGGUCGCAAUUUUAAGAUGCUAAGAUUCACUCCCAGUAGGCGGCGGCUUAGCAUGAGCAAAUCUGCUAAAAUCCGCUUGCGAGCGAACAACUCGGAAUGACCUCCAAUAUUUUGUGUCUUCCUACUUCCAUGUCUGUAAAGUAAUU